rnacentral:rRNA from 1 species
GUUUCCGUAGGUGAACCUGCGGAAGGAUCAUUACCGAGUGCGGGAACCCAGUCGGGUCCCAAUCUCCCACCCGUGUCUACCACACCUAGUGUUGCUUUGGCGGGCCCACUCCUCCGGUGUUCCGCCGGGGGGGUCGUCCCGGGGCGCGGUGUGCCCCCGGGGCCCGUGCCCGCCAGAGGCACUCACUGUGAACGCUUUUGUGAAUGCGAGGAUUGUCUGAGUGACGAAAUGCAAUCGUUCAAAACUUUCAACAAUGGAUCUCUUGGUUCCGGCAUCGAUGAAGAACGCAGCGAAAUGCGAUAAGUAAUGUGAAUUGCAGAAUUCCGUGAAUCAUCGAAUCUUUGAACGCACAUUGCGCCCUCUGGUAUUCCGGGGGGCAUGCCUGUCCGAGCGUCAUUGCGAACCCUCAAGCACGGCUUGUGUGUUGGGCCGCCGUCCCCUCGUUUGGAGGGGACGGGCCUGAAAGGCAGCGGCGGCGUCGCGUCCGGUCCUCGAGCGUAUGGGGCUCUGUCACGCGCUCAAGGAGGGGUCCGGCCGGGGCCAUAGCCUCUGAAGGUCAAUUCUUCCAAGGUUGACCUCGGAUCAGGUAGGAGUACCCGCUGAACUUAAGCAUAUCAAUAAGC